AUCACCGAAAUCACCUUUAUACGGUGAGUGCCUCGAUUUAUCGAGGAAUCGUGUGACAGGUGCUGCAUGGCUGUCGUCAGUUCGUGUCGUGAGAUGUUGGGUUAAGUCCCGCAACGAACGCAACCCCUGUCUUUAGUUACCAGCAUUAAGUUGGGGACUCUAGAGAGACUGCCAAGGUGACAACUUGGAGGAAGGUGGGGACGACGUCAAGUCAUCAUGGUCCUUACGUCCAGGGCUAGAAACGUACUACAAUGGUUGGCACAGAGGGGAGCAACACAGCGAUGUGAAGCAAAUCCUUAAAACCAACCUCAGUUCGGAUUGGAGUCUGCAACUNGANNCCAUGAAGUUGGAAUCGCUAGUAAUCGCGGAUCAGCAAUGCCGCGGUGAAUAUGUUCCCGGGUAUUGUACAUACCGCCCGUCAAGUCAACCGAGUUAUUU
rnacentral:rRNA from 2 species